rnacentral:tRNA from 1 species
GGACCGGUAGCUCAGCCUGGAUCAGAGCACCUGACUUUUAAUCAGGGGGUCGCGGGUUCAAGUCCCGUCCGGUCCA